rnacentral:rRNA from 1 species
AUUGAACGCUGGCGGCAUGCCUUACACAUGCAAGUCGAACGGUAACGGGCCUUCGGGUGCCGACGAGUGGCGAACGGGUGAGUAAUACAUCGGAACGUGCCCGAUCGUGGGGGAUAACGAGGCGAAAGCUUUGCUAAUACCGCAUACGAUCUACGGAUGAAAGCAGGGGACCGCAAGGCCUUGCGCGGACGGAGCGGCCGAUGGCAGAGUAGGUAGUUGGUGGGAUAAAAGCUUACCAAGCCGACGAUCUGUAGCUGGUCUGAGAGGAUGAUCAGCCACACUGGGACUGAGACACGGCCCAGACUCCUACGGGAGGCAGCAGUGGGGAAUUUUGGACAAUGGGCGCAAGCCUGAUCCAGCCAUGCCGCGUGCAGGAUGAAGGCCUUCGGGUUGUAAACUGCUUUUGUACGGAACGAAAAGCCUUCUUUUAAUACAGGAGGGUCAUGACGGUACCGUAAGAAUAAGCACCGGCUAACUACGU